GUAUAGUCUAGCUCAGUUGGUAGAGCAUGAGAUUCAUAAUCUCAGGGUCGUGGGUUCAAGCCCCACAUUGGGCA